GGCAGGCACGCAGGCUAUGGGAAAGUGUCAGGGAGAGGGCGCGCGCGCCGCUCCUUCCCUGCCUCGCGCCCGUCAUCCUCGUGCCUCGGAGGAGCCGGGUAGGCGGGGAUUCCCCCAAUUAGCGCCCGACAGUGUUGGGCUGCGGCGCGUACCCGGCAGCCCAGAGCGGCCCCGCCCUCCGCAGCAGCCCAGAGCUGCCCCGCCCCUCCCCGCCGGUCAAUGCCACCCCCAGCUCCGCUGAACCCGGCCCUCCGGCCACAGGCGCCGCGAGCGUGACUGGCCGCGCGCCGGCGUGAGGCUGCACUUUCUUCCCUGGGCUCGCGGUCAGUCACCUGGGCACUGAGGCCAGGCUCCGCGGGCGGCUGUUACAGCCACGUCCCCAGCGCGGGGAGCCCCGAGCCAGGCCGGACGGUGACACCAGCCUCCAGGCAGGCUUGGGAGUCGUGCUGGGAAGUGCACUGCCGGGGACCACCCGGCUGUGAGGACAUAAGGCAAUGCACGGCCCGCACAGGACCUCCGACCCACUGUGAACGCCCCCAGGAGCUGCUGGCUUCUCUUCCCCCCUCCAUCCCGAGGACAGCCCCUCCGGAUUGGUCUGGUGGUAUUAGCCAUGGGUGCUGUUCCCCCUCCCAAUGCACAUUGUGUCCAUCACAGCUAGUAAGAGUGCAGAGAGUCGAGAACAACCAAUGAGGGGAUGCUGCUUGAAUAUCUUAACCUGUGCUUCCUCUGACGACUAACUUUUGAGCACCGACAGCAGCUGCUAGUGCAUCCAGGCCCUUCUAGAACUUCUUUUCGGACACUCAAUUUCCAGACCGUGUCCCUAUUCCGUGCCCUUGGAGUGCUCAGAUAUAUUUGGGUAUAUACAUAUAUAUACCCAGACACAAACUUUGUAAAUUUCCUCCAGGAUUAACUCCAGUUUGUGCCACUAAAUGGAUGCUCAAACACCUGUUUGCACCUACUCAGGAUUUUAAAAACUUUGGCCUAGAUUUAUUAAUUUUGUCAGCUUUUUUCUAACUUCAGCAAUAAAUUUACUGAAAUUGCACAGACAGAGAAGAUGCAGAAUGGUGGACAGUAGAAUACUAGUUUUGUCCCUGCUGCUUACUAAAAGACAGGGAUGAGUUAUGUGCCGCUUCCUCAUAUAAAUUGAGCAGUGAGAAUAAAAUUGACAUUUCAUUGUUGCUAUUACAUGUUUUAUAUUUAUAUUAUUAAAAAUGCUUACUCGAGCCAUGCAGAUGUAAAUAAGCUAAUCACAAAAAAACUUUAUUGUCUAAAAACAUGUCAUAAUAUAUUUAAUCUAUCAGUGUCACAGAUAAAUCCAUUUAACAAUAAAGAUCCCACUAAAUAUACCCUGGAAACUACCAUUCCAAUUUCUUCCACCCACUUUCCCUGGAAAGUCCGGAAAGCCAUUGAUUAGACCAACCGCAGAAGAGAGGUCUAGAGUAGAUGUCCCUCACUUCAGGGUUUAAAUGAGAUAUCUAUGUCUAUUUAAUCUCUACCACUGUAUAACAUCAUAAAACUGUAUAACAAAAUUCUGAGACAUGGAUGUCAGUUCCUCCACAGUAUAUAUUAAAAAAGAGUCACAUGACAUCACACUGGUGUUUUCUUUUGCUCCACAGAAGGGGUUCUGUUUGCAGGCCCUCCUUUAAGCAUAGGCAACCUCCUACAGCGCCACAUCAAAGGAGGCACCCCACAGUUGCAAAGGGAAACUGACUAGGAUUACACAGAGGCAUGGCUGCAAAGAGAAACUUUGCAGCCAGCUGGGUGUAUAAAGAACUUGAUGCAGUAGGAAACUGACUAAUGCAAGUCCUUUUUCUUCUGCAGCAAGGGCAGGAACACUUUACUUAUGGAAGGGACAAGAGAAAAAGUGUAGGAGAAUCCCAGUCAGUUCUAUCUGUAUUUGAAGCCUUUCUGCUUUUUAGAGUGAUUUAACUUUGGCUUUCUGCCUAUAUUUUUUUUUGUAUUUUUUUAUUUAUGAAAUUUUAUAUCAUAAGCUACAAAUAUAGUCUUUCUCAAAAAGGCUAACUACAUGAAUAAAAAAGAAAAAAAUACAUAAUUGACUAAAAUUAUACAGUUAUUGCUGCCAAAUUUACAAGAACAAUAGGGGGUCAACUCUAGUAGAAACUUCCCACUCGUUAAAGGCAUAAAUUUUUAAAAGUACCAUUCAAAGUCAAGGAUAUCAGAUUUGUUUAUAACAUCUAAAUAAAUAGUUUUAAAAAUAACAUUUCAUAGACAUGCUCGGUCUAUUAAAUAUGUGUAAUAGCAGAUUUCACUCAAGUUCAUAAAAAUCACUGGAAACAAUAUGUCCCAGAUGUUGUAAUGAUGCUCAUUCUAAUAUGGUAACACCUUGUAAAAUAAAGAGAUCUGAUGACUA